GAUGAACGCUGGCGGCGUGCUUAACACAUGCAAGUCGAACGAUGAAGCCCAGCUUGCUGGGUGGAUUAGUGGCGAACGGGUGAGUAACACGUGAGUAACCUGCCCUUAACUCUGGGAUAAGCCUGGGAAACUGGGUCUAAUACCGGAUAGGAGCGUCCACCGCAUGGUGGGUGUUGGAAAGAUUUAUCGGUUUUGGAUGGACUCGCGGCCUAUCAGCUUGUUGGUGAGGUAAUGGCUCACCAAGGCGACGACGGGUAGCCGGCCUGAGAGGGUGACCGGCCACACUGGGACUGAGACACGGCCCAGACUCCUACGGGAGGCAGCAGUGGGGAAUAUUGCACAAUGGGCGCAAGCCUGAUGCAGCGACGCCGCGUGAGGGAUGACGGCCUUCGGGUUGUAAACCUCUUUCAGUAGGGAAGAAGCGAAAGUGACGGUACCUGCAGAAGAAGCACCGGCUAACUACG
rnacentral:rRNA from 1 species